UGUACAAAUAACAAGGUCAUACACAGCCAUCUUCUAACCGUGUACAUACUGGGAACUAUUCUCAGAAGGUGAAGCCCUGCUGCUUGGGCGGAAGGAUUAUUACUCCAACUCUGAGCGAACUCAAGGCAAACUCUCUGCUCCUCACCAAGGGGCUUCUAAGUUGCUGCAAGUAAAUCACUCUGCCCAAGA